UCCUACCUUGAGAUGAAUAUCAGAGAUCU
rnacentral:piRNA from 1 species